rnacentral:tRNA from 1 species
UCUGAAAUAGCUUAGUUGGUAGAGCGUCAGACUAUAAAUUGAGAGGUCCUCGGUUCGAUCCCGGGUUCCGACA